rnacentral:rRNA from 1 species
UACAGAGGGUGCGAGCGUUAAUCGGAAUUACUGGGCGUAAAGCGUGCGUAGACGGCUAUCUAAGUCGGGUGUGAAAGCCCCGGGCUCAACCUGGGAACUGCAUUUGAUACUCUGGUGCUGGAGUUCGGGAGAGGAGAGUGGAAUUCCCAGUGUAGAGGUGAAAUUCGUAGAUAUUGGGAAGAACACCGGUGGCGAAGGCGGCUCACUGGCUCAUUACUGACGCUCAGGCGCGAUAGCGUGGGGAUCAAACAGG